rnacentral:rRNA from 1 species
UACGUAGGGUGCAGGCGUUAAUCGGAAUUACUGGGCGUAAAGCGUGCGCAGGCGGUUUGCUAAGACCGAUGUGAAAUCCCCGGGCUUAACCUGGGAACUGCAUUGGUGACUGCAUUGCUCGAGUAUGGCAGAGGGGGGUGGAAUUCCACGUGUAGCAGUGAAAUGCGUAGAGAUGUGGAGGAACACCGAUGGCGAAGGCAGCCCCCUGGGCCAAUACUGACGCUCAUGCACGAAAGCGUGGGGAGCAAACGGG